AUUGAACGCUGGCGGCAGGCCUAACACAUGCAAGUCGAACGAGUGGCGGACGGGUGAGUAAUGUCUGGGAAACUGCCUGAUGGAGGGGGAUAACUACUUGAAACGGUAGCUAAUACCGCAUACCAUCAGAUGUGCCCAGAUGGGAUUAGCUAGUAGGUGGGGUAACGGCUCACCUAGGCGACGAUCCCUAGCUGGUCUGAGAGGAUGACCAGCCACACUGGAACUGAGACACGGUCCAGACUCCGACGGGAGGCAGCAGUGGGGAAUAUUGCACAAUGGGAGCAAGCCUGAUGCAGACAUGCCGCGUGUGGGAAGAAGGCCUUCGGGUGGUAAAGCACUUUCAGCGGGGAGGCGUUACCCGCAGAAGAAGCACCGGCUAACUCCGUGCCAGCCGCCGCGGUAAUUC
rnacentral:rRNA from 1 species